ensembl:misc_RNA Metazoa_SRP Metazoan signal recognition particle RNA
ACCGGGCUCAGUGGCACGUGCCUGUAGUCCCAGGUACUCAGGAGGCUGAGGUGGGACUACAGGCAUGAGGAGUCCCAACUCCUCGCUUGAGCCUAGGAGUUCUGCGCUGUAGUGCACUAUGCCCAUCGGGUGUCCGUAAUAAGUUCAGCAUCAAUAUGGUGACCUCCCGGGAGCAAAGGGGCCACCAGGUCACAUAAGGAGGGGUGAACUGGCCCAGGUCAGAAACGGAGCAGGUCAAAACUCCUGUGCUGAUCAGUAGUAGGAUCGCACCUGUGAAUAGCCACUGCUCCAGCCUGGGCAACAUAGUGAGACCCCUGUCUCU